rnacentral:rRNA from 1 species
UACGUAGGGUGCGAGCGUUGCCCGGAUUUAUUGGGCGUAAAGGGCGCGUAGGCGGCCACGCACGUCCGUUGUGAAAUCGCCCGGCUCAACUGGGCGGGGUCGGCGGAUACGGCGUGGCUGGAGCAAGCUAGGGGGCAAUGGAAUUCCCGGUGUAGUGGUGGAAUGCGUAGAUAUCGGGAGGAACACCAGUGGCGAAGGCGGUUGCCUGGAGCUUUGCUGACGCUGAUGCGCGAAAGCGUGGGGAGCAAACAGG